UGUGGUUCAGAAGGUCUUGUGACACCUUCAGGUGAAUGCUGGGAAGGUUUCUACUGCUUACAAGGAGCCAAGGUGCCAGAAAAUCCAGUCAAGGAUGACACUGGAGGCCCCUGUCCCCCAGGUCAUUUCUGUCCAAAUGGCACAGCUUUUCCACUGGGAUGUCCUGCAGGAACAUACAGUGCUCUCGAAGGGCAGGGUAGUUGCAGUCCAUGUGUUGAAGGGCAUUUCUGCCCUUCAAAUGCUUCAUCUUAUGAAAGAAACAUUUGUGUGCCUGGGCAUUAUUGUCCUCUAGGAACAGAAUUUAAAGACAAAUAUCCCUGCCCCAAAGGGACAUACAACAGACUGUUAGGG